UUAAUAUUUUUUCAAGCAGUUUUAUUGCAGAACAGUUCUCAAAACAUAGCCACAAACUCUCUACACUCUUUUCGAUAAUACUUAAUUUCAGCCCUGUCUCUGCUUAUGCCGUGGAUUUGUCUUGCAGAACACAUACAAACUUCCUCUCCGUCGGACAAUGAAACAGUCUUUACAGCGCCUCCUCAGGGCAGACUUUGUUUUCAUCCCUCUGGAAGGCUGGACGCAAGAAAGAUGCUGGCACUCUUGCAACAAGGAUUGUCCACAUUGACCAAAUGAGCCAGGCAAGGGGGGCUGGAUGGAGCCAGUUUUCCUUGAUGACAGGAAUAGUACCCGGGGAGCUGUGGUGAGGGUGUAGAGACUUCUGUAGAUACUUGCAGCUGGUGAUGGGAAAAUCCUACUUAUCUUGCUGAUGUUGGCCACUUGGGAGGAUACUGAGGUGGCAAGGUGCCUCAACAGGAGGGGCGUCAUGGUGCCUCAGCUACAAAGUAAAAAAAAAACAGACAAGUGAAGUUCAGCUACAGAAUGAGCACCUUACAUGACUGACCCUAGACUAUAAGUUUAGUCUGGACUUUUUAUUGUUAUCAAGUAUUUGCAUCAAAAUACGAUAAACAUCAAGCUAUACAACAACGUAGCUUUUGCAUUAAUUUUCAACUAUCGCGUGAAUUAUAUUACGGCAUAAAAUUAAGUUAGGGUCAAACACACCGUAACACCGAGUUAGACACCCCGUCGAGAGAUGAAUGUUGCCGACUGCUUGCUUCUCUAGUUAUACAAACUUUAGUAGCGACCACAGAUAGCAAUACAGCUACGCGCUCAACCAAAACGCCACUCUAUAGCCACAAAUAAUGCUCAGAACAGCACCUAACUUCAUCAACAAUACAUAUAGGGUCCUAGACACAGCACUAGCCACCAAACAUCUUUUUAGCUUUGCCUAAUUUCUUUAGUAAAGAGACUUAACACAACUCACCGUCUCUCUUCCAGAAGCCGCUUGUGUAUACUGUGACCUCCGGGUGAGUCCAUCGACUGCAGCAGGGGGAUGCAGCUCAAGGAAGAACAUUCAUGAUCCUUACUUUAUCAUUUCCUUUAAGUAGUAAUCAUUAUAUUAAUCAUUUUGCACUGCAGACGCGGUAGUUGGUCUGCCUUAGCGUCUCGGUCUGUUUGCAUUUCCAUUGAGUAGUGAUCAUAUAUGUUCUUCCUUGAGCUGCGUCCCCCUGCUGCGGCAAUGGACUCGCCUGGGGUCUCCAUACAGGCAAGCAGCUGCUGGAAGAGAGACGGUGAGUUGUGUUUAGUCUCUUUGCUACAGAAAUUAGGCAAAGUUAAAAAAGAUGUUUGGUGGCUAGUGCUGUCAUUACUAGAGAAGCAAGCAGUCGGCAACAUUUAUCUAUAGACGAGGUGUCUAACUCGGUGUUGCAGUGUGUUUGACCCUAACUUACUUUUACGCCGGAAUAUCCCUUUAAUAUGCAUUUUUGCCUUGCAGAUGACAUUUGAAAGCGGUAACACGCGUUUGUAACACUAAAUGUUUACAGAAGAUAGCUGAAAAGAAACUAGCAUGGCAUGGUUGACCCGCAAACACCAGCGCGAGGUCUACGGAAUCCGACACACAUUACUCCCUGACCAGGCACAUUCACAUUCACAUGGUUUGAGAUCAAAAGUGAAAAAAAACCCGUCAGAUUUACCUCAAUAACUUUACACUUAGAAAUGUCCUUGAAUAUCACGUUUUAAUAGCCACAACAGAGGCGAGGU